GCAGCAGCCCGGGAAUACGUAGGUGGCAAGCGUUGUCCGGAAUUAUUGGGCGUAAAGGGCUCGCAGGCGGUUUCUUAAGUCUGAUGUGAAAGCCCCCGGCUCAACCGGGGAGGGUCAUUGGAAACUGGGAAACUUGAGUGCAGAAGAGGAGAGUGGAAUUCCACGUGUAGCGGUGAAAUGCGUAGAGAUGUGGAGGAACACCAGUGGCGAAGGCGACUCUCUGGUCUGUAACUGACGCUGAGGAGCGGAAGCGUGGGGAGCGAACAGGAUUAGAUACCCGCGUAGUCCCUGUCUCUUAUACA
rnacentral:rRNA from 1 species